UGAGGAAUAUUGGUCAAUGGGCGCGAGCCUGAACCAGCCAAGUAGCGUGAAGGAUGAAGGUCCUAUGGAUUGUAAACUUCUUUUAUAGCAGAAUAAAGUGACCCACGUGUGGGUUUUUGUAUGUAUGCUAUGAAUAAGGAUCGGCUAACUCCGUGCCAGCAGCCGCGGUAAUACGGAGGAUCCGAGCGUUAUCCGGAUUUAUUGGGUUUAAAGGGUGCGUAGGCGGAAAGAUAAGUCAGCCUGUGAAAGUUUGCGGCUCAACCGUAAAAUUGCAGUUGAUACUGUUGUUCUUGAGUGUACAUAAGGUAGGCGGAAUUCGUGGUGUAGCGGUGAAAUGCUUAGAUAUCACGAGGAACUCCGAUUGCGCAGGCAGCUUACUAAGCCACAACUGACGCUCAUGCACGAAGGCGUGGGGAUCAAACA
rnacentral:rRNA from 1 species